rnacentral:rRNA from 1 species
CCUCAGUAAUGGCGAAUGAACAGGGAUGAGCUCAGGCUGGAAACCGAUACAUCUGUGUCGGGCUGUAGCCUGCAGGCAUAGCGCUAUCGGCGGCUCGAGCGCAAGCCUCUUGGAAUAGAGCGUGUGCCCGGGUGAGAAUCCUGCAUUUCGCUCGAUGUCCGCUGUCCACAGUGCUUGUCCUGAGAGUCACGCUCCUCGGAAUUGGAGCGUAAAUCAGGUGGUAAGUUUCAUCCAAAGCUAAAUAGAAGCUCGAGACCAAUAGCAAACAAGUACCAUGAGGGAAAGAUGAAAAGGACUUUGGAAAGAGAGUUAAAAGUGUUUGAAAUUGCUGAGAGCGAAGCGAACGGAGCCACAUGUCGUGCUGAGAUUGCUGUGGGUCUUUGUGAGCCUUGAGCAUGUAAGCGCAAGCUGACUGCUUAUGUGUGAGCAUUUACCCGCAGUGUUUCUCAGCAUGCGAGUCAUUAGCCACAUUUGUUUGAGGAUGGCCUUCAGCUCACAUGGUACACUUGUUAGUGUUCCUCUGUGCGGUGUGGGACUCAGACAGGUGUGGCUUGUUGACCCAGUGGUUUUUUUCGACCCGUCUUGAAACACGGACCAAGGA